CCCUUUGGGUGUGACUGCGUACCUUUUGUAUAAUGGGUCAGCGACUUAUAUUCUGUAGCAAGGUUAACCGAAUAGGGGAGCCGGAGGGAAACCGAGUCUUAACCGGGCGUUAAGUUGCAGGGUAUAGACCCGAAACCCGGUGAUCUAGCCAUGGGCAGGUUGAAGGUUGGGUAACACUAACUGGAGGACCGAACCGACUAAUGUUGAAAAAUUAGCGGAUGACCUGUGGCUGGGGGUGAAAGGCCAAUCAAACCGGGAGAUAGCUGGUUCUCCCCGAAAGCUAUUUAGGUAGCGCCUCGUGAAUUCAUCUCCGGGGGUAGAGCACUGUUUCGGCUAGGGGGCCAUCCCGGCUUACCAACCCGAUGCAAACUGCGAAUACCGGAGAAUGUUAUCACGGGAGACACACGGCGGGUGCUAACGUCCGUCGUGAAGAGGGAAACAACCCAGACCGCCAGCUAAGGUCCCAAAGUCAUGGUUAAGUGGGAAACGAUGUGGGAAGGCCCAGACAGCCAGGAUGUUGGCUUAGAAGCAGCCAUCAUUUAAAGAAAGCGUAAUAGCUCACUGGUCGAGUCGGCCUGCGCGGAAGAUGUAACGGGGCUAAACCAUGCACCGAAGCUGCGGCAGCGACACUGUGUGUUGUUGGGUAGGGGAGCGUUCUGUAAGCCUGUGAAGGUGUGUCGUGAGGCAUGCUGGAGGUAUCAGAAGUGCGAAUGCUGACAUAAGUAACGAUAAAGCGGGUGAAAAGCCCGCUCGCCGGAAGACCAAGGGUUCCUGUCCAACGUUAAUCGGGGCAGGGUGAGUCGACCCCUAAGGCGAGGCCGAAAGGCGUAGUCGAUGGGAAACGGGUUAAUAUUCCCGUACUUGGUGUUACUGCGAAGGGGGGACGGAGAAGGCUAUGUUGGCCGGGCGACGGUUGUCCCGGUUUAAGCGUGUAGGUGUGUGUUCCAGGUAAAUCCGGUUCACUUUAACACUGAGGCGUGACGACGAGGCACUACGGUGCUGAAGCAACAAAUGCCCUGCUUCCAGGAAAAGCCUCUAAGCAUCAGGUAACAUCAAAUCGUACCCCAAACCGACACAGGUGGUCAGGUAGAGAAUACCAAGGCGCUUGAGAGAACUCGGGUGAAGGAACUAGGCAAAAUGGUGCCGUAACUUCGGGAGAAGGCACGCUGACACGUAGGUGAAGUGAUUUACUCAUGGAGCUGAAGUCAGUCGAAGAUACCAGCUGGCUGCAACUGUUUAUUAAAAACACAGCACUGUGCAAACACGAAAGUGGACGUAUACGGUGUGACGCCUGCCCGGUGCCGGAAGGUUAAUUGAUGGGGUCAGCGCAAGCGAAGCUCCUGAUCGAAGCCCCGGUAAACGGCGGCCGUAACUAUAACGGUCCUAAGGUAGCGAAAUUCCUUGUCGGGUAAGUUCCGACCUGCACGAAUGGCGUAAUGAUGGCCAGGCUGUCUCCACCCGAGACUCAGUGAAAUUGAACUCGCUGUGAAGAUGCAGUGUACCCGCGGCAAGACGGAAAGACCCCGUGAACCUUUACUAUAGCUUGACACUGAACAUUGAGCCUUGAUGUGUAGGAUAGGUGGGAGGCUUUGAAGUGUGGACGCCAGUCUGCAUGGAGCCGACCUUGAAAUACCACCCUUUAAUGUUUGAUGUUCUAACGUGGACCCGUUACCCGGGUUGCGGACAGUGUCUGGUGGGUAGUUUGACUGGGGCGGUCUCCUCCUAAAGAGUAACGGAGGAGCACGAAGGUUGGCUAAUCCUGGUCGGACAUCAGGAGGUUAGUGCAAUGGCAUAAGCCAGCUUGACUGCGAGCGUGACGGCGCGAGCAGGUGCGAAAGCAGGUCAUAGUGAUCCGGUGGUUCUGAAUGGAAGGGCCAUCGCUCAACGGAUAAAAGGUACUCCGGGGAUAACAGGCUGAUACCGCCCAAGAGUUCAUAUCGACGGCGGUGUUUGGCACCUCGAUGUCGGCUCAUCACAUCCUGGGGCUGAAGUAGGUCCCAAGGGUAUGGCUGUUCGCCAUUUAAAGUGGUACGCGAGCUGGGUUUAGAACGUCGUGAGACAGUUCGGUCCCUAUCUGCCGUGGGCGCUGGAGAACUGAGGGGGGCUGCUCCUAGUACGAGAGGACCGGAGUGGACGCAUCACUGGUGUUCGGGUUGUCAUGCCAAUGGCACUGCCCGGUAGCUAAAUGCGGAAGAGAUAAGUGCUGAAAGCAUCUAAGCACGAAACUUGCCCCGAGAUGAGUUCUCCCUGAGACUUAGAGU
rnacentral:rRNA from 1 species